GAACGCUAGCGGCAGGCUUAACACAUGCAAGUCGAGGGCAGCGCGGGAGUAGCAAUACUUCUGGCGGCGACCGGCGGAAGGGUGCGUAACGCGUGAGCAACAUUCCCGCAUCUGGGGGAUAAGCACUGGAAACGGUGUCUAAUACCCCAUAACAACGGAUUCCACAUGGAGACCGUUUGAAAGCUGCGACGGAUGCGGAUUGGCUCGCGUGACAUUAGCUAGUCGGCGGGGUAACGGCCCACCGAGGCGACGAUGUCUAGGGGUUCUGAGAGGAAGGUCCCCCACACUGGAACUGAGACACGGUCCAGACUCCUACGGGAGGCAGCAGUGAGGAAUAUUGGUCAAUGGGCGGAAGCCUGAACCAGCCAUGCCGCGUGAAGGAAUAAGGCCCUAUGGGUCGUAAACUUCUUUUGUGGUGGAGCAAUAAGGGCUACGCGUAGUCCGAUGAGAGUACAUCACGAAUAAGCAUCGGCUAACUCCGUGCCAGCAGCCGCGGUAAUACGGAGGAUGCAAGCGUUAUCCGGAUUUAUUGGGUUUAAAGGGUGCGUAGGCUGUGCCGCAAGUCGGGGGUGAAAGCCCGGGGCCCAACCCCGGAACUGCCCUUGAUACUGCGGCGCUGGAGUUCGGAUGCCGUGGGAGGAAUGAGUAGUGUAGCGGUGAAAUGCAUAGAUAUUACUCAGAACACCGAUUGCGAAGGCAUCUCACGAAUCCGACACUGACGCUGAGGCACGAAAGCGUGGGGAUCAAACAGGAUUAGAUACCCUGGUAGUCCACGCAGUAAACGAUGAUGACUAACUGUCGGCGAUAAACAGUCGGUGGCCA
rnacentral:rRNA from 1 species